UACAGAGGGUGCAAGCGUUAAUCGGAAUUACUGGGCGUAAAGGGCGCGUAGGUGGUUAGUUAAGUGAGAUGUGAAAUCCCCGGGCUUAACCUGGGAACUGCGUCUUAAACUGACUGGCUUGAGUACAAUAGAGGGUAGUGGAAUUUCCGGUGUAGCGGUGAAAUGCGUAGAGAUCGGGAGGAACACCCGUGGCGAAGGCGGCCAUCUGGACCAGCACUGACGCUGAGGCACGAAAGCGUGGGGAGCAAACAGG
rnacentral:rRNA from 1 species